AUUGAACGCUGGCGGCAUGCCUUACACAUGCAAGUCGAACGGCAGCACGGGAGCAAUCCUGGUGGCGAGUGGCGAACGGGUGAGUAAAGUAUCGGAACGUGCCCAGUCGUGGGGGAUAACGUAGCGAAAGUCACGCUAAUACCGCAUACGAUCUAUGGAUGAAAGCGGGGGAUCGCAAGACCUCGCGCGAUUGGAGCGGCCGAUAUCAGAUUAGGUAGUUGGUGGGGUAAAGGCUCACCAAGCAGACGAUCUGUAGCUGGUCUGAGAGGACGACCAGCCACACUGGGACUGAGACACGGCCCAGACUCCUACGGGAGGCAGCAGUGGGGAAUUUUGGACAAUGGGCGAAAGCCUGAUCCAGCCAUGCCGCGUGCAGGAUGAAGGCCUUCGGGUUGUAAACUGCUUUUGUACGGAACGAAAAGGUUUGGGCUAAUAAGCUGAGCUCAUGACGGUACCGUAAGAAUAAGCACCGGCUAACUACGUGCCAGCCGCCGCCGUAA
rnacentral:rRNA from 1 species